GACGAACGCUGGCGGCGCGCUUAACACAUGCAAGUCGAACGGAAAGGCCUGCUUUCCCUUGUGGAUUGCGGGUACUCGAGUGGCGAACGGGUGAGUAACACGUGAGUGAUCUGCCCCCAACUUGGGUAUAAGCCUGGGAAACUGGGUCUAAUUCCCGAUAGGACUGCAGGGUGGUGCCUGUGGUGGAAAACGAUUUUCUAGUGGUUGGGGAUGAGCUCGCGGCCUAUCAGCUUGUUGGUGGGGUAAUGGCCUACCAAGGCGGCGACGGGUAGCCGGCCUGAGAGGGUGGACGGCCACAUUGGGACUGAGAUACGGCCCAGACUCCUACGGGAGGCAGCAGUGGGGAAUAUUGCACAAUGGGCGGAAACCUGAUGCAGCGACGCCGCGUGGGGGAUGACGGCCUUCGGGUUGUAAACUCCUUUCGACCGCGAGGAAGCCACCUGGUUGGAAGGGUGGUGACGGUAGUGGUAGAAGAAGCACCGGCUAACUACGUG
rnacentral:rRNA from 1 species